UUCCCCCUUAAAAGUCCAUGGUGUUUUGUUUCAGGAUGUUUUGUUGUCUAGCACUCCUUUCCCUUUGACCAUUAUGUUUUUACAAUUUUGGUUUCAUCUGAGUUUACCGUGGUUUAGAGUCUGGUUUUAUCAAUGUACAGUUACCCAUGACUGGGAUCCGAUGGACUUUGGGCCAGUGGCUGGGCAGCAGUUAUUUCCUUGCUCAUUUUGCACUGUGGCAAUGGCCGGAUCAGCAGGCAGCCAGUCCUGCUGAGGCUUUGCCUCCUAGUCUCCUUUCCUUACUUUUCUUCCCAGCUCCAUCCUCUUCCUAUUGCCCUUAGUCUAACCACCAUCUUCAAGUUUGUGUUUAUCAUUUGCUUAUAUUUAUAAUGUUAACAUAUAUAUUUGUAUUCCUGCACAAUAUUCUUUCAGUUUUUAGCCUGCUUUUGAACUUCAUAUAAAUAGAAUCAGAUUUUUUAUAUUCAUCCAUGCUGUCAUAUAAUAAUAUAUCAUCCAUGUGUUCAUUCAUUUUAUUUCUAUUACAUUAAUUGCUUUUUUCUGAAAUUUUGCUUUUUACUAUGGAACUAUUUUUCAAAUACACUGAAAACUUGAGAGUCUGAUAGUGACUCCAUAUAACUCAUCACCCAGUUAUAUAACAGCUUUUAACUUUUUGCCAUAAUUGUUUCAUUGUCUUCUCUGUUUAUAUUUUUUCAUCAUCCUCUCAUCUAUCCUAUGAUUUCACCCUAAUACCAAAUGCUUUACCUACUCCUAGGACUGAUAUUUCAGCAAGCUGGAAAGAAAGUACAACAGGGCUCUGGGGGCCCUGGUCCCAAGCUGGAGUGAAGAAAUGUGCCCUCUCAAAAGUAUAGACCCUCUAAAACCAAAGCCCCAGGCAAGCCAGAGAUAAAGCCUUCCUCCAAAACAGUAUUAUGGGGCGUUUUCAGAGGCUGGCAGGUUAGAAAACAGCCGCUGCUUGCUCACUACAAGCUGUGCUUCUCCCUACUGCCUAGUCUAAGAAGCAGAGUCCUGGUGUUAGAAUGGGUUGCCCAAGGUGACUGCAGGGUAAGCUUCAGGAUGAUUGUUGAGCAAGGUGAGCCUUCUCCUGUGAGCAAGGAAUUAGCCACAGACUAUGAACACUGCGGGGGACCUGUCGUUCUGGCUCACUCCUCACCCCUCCUCUUUUACAGUUGAGAGAACCAAGGAAUGCGUUGGGCAGUAUUCCUUGUUAUACUCAUGAUAGCCAUUUGACAUUCCAGGUUUAUGUGUGUGUGUGUGGGUGGGGGCUUUCCCUUGGACUCCCCAUCUCGAGUGGUCCUGGGGCUUUGUCUCUUGCCCCAGAACUCCUAGGCUGUGGCAACAAUCAAAGCCUGAGCUCACUUGAUCUAGCAGAUGUCCUUUUGGCAAAUCCCAGCUUCGGAAGCCUGCUUUACCACUUCCAUUUCCUGCUGUUUUUGGCUUCUGAGUAUUCCUUCUUUUCUUGCUAGCACAUUGAUUGGUUAAAGAAUUUUUUUGCAAUAAUUUGAUCCAGAAUUUUUAUUCUCAGCAGAAGAGUCAAUCAGAGACCUACCAUCCCCCAGGUAGGUAGUGGAAAGACUGGCAGCCUUUGUUGUCUUUCAUAAACUUAAGGCACUUUGUUUUUGCAGGAUUAAUCACUCCUGAAGAUCGGAAAUAUGGAACAACAAAUCUUCACUUAGAUGUAUCUGAUGCAGCUAAUGUCAUGGUCUAUGUGGGAAUUCCCAAAGGACAGUGUGAGCAAGAAGAAGGUAGGGUGCUGAGCAUAAAAGGAGAGCUUACUCUUUGAGCCAGGGCCUGUGGUCUGAUAUUUGCUUUCUCUUCUUGCUCUAGAAGUCCUUAAGACCAUCCAAGAUGGAGAUUCUGACGAACUCACAAUAAAGCGAUUUAUUGAAGGAAAAGAGAAGCCAGGAGCACUGUGGCACAUAUAUGCUGCAAAGGACACGGAGAAGAUAAGGGAAUUUCUUAAAAAGGUAUCAGAAGAGCAAGGUCAAGAAAACCCAGCAGACCAUGAUCCUAUUCAUGAUCAAAGCUGGUAUUUAGACCGAUCAUUAAGAAAGCGUCUUCAUCAAGAGUAUGGAGUUCAAGGCUGGGCUAUUGUACAGUUUCUUGGGGAUGUGGUGUUUAUCCCGGCAGGAGCUCCACAUCAGGUUCAUAACUUAUAUAGCUGUAUCAAAGUGGCUGAAGAUUUUGUUUCUCCAGAGCAUGUUAAACACUGCUUCUGGCUUACUCAGGAAUUCCGAUAUCUGUCACAGACUCAUACCAAUCAUGAAGAUAAAUUACAGGUGAAGAAUGUUAUCUACCAUGCAGUGAAAGAUGCAGUUGCUAUGCUGAAAGCCAGUGAAUCCAGUUUUGGCAAACCUUAAUCUCCCUGCACAUUGGAAAUGAAUUACAGGCAGCUGUUCAAACUCUUCAGGCAGGAUUCCUGUGGACUUUGAGAUUCAUGUUACCUCAUCUUCUUUUUUAAACUGUACCCAACUUGUGAGGGUACUCUGUCUAAUGUAUAUUUCUAGUGUUUACAGACAGUAAAUGUGUAUAUGUAGUAACUAUUUACAGAACAUGCAUCCUUAAACUGUGACUUCUCACCUAGUGCAGAACUUUUACCAGGCUGUAAAAGCAAAACCUCAUAUCAGCUCUGGAACAAUACCUGCAGUUAUUCUUCAGCUGUUUGGACAACUUAGAUUGGGUUUAUAACUAUUAGGAAUCACUGCACAGUUUAUUUGGGUUGUAUUUUUUUUGUGUCUGAGUCCCCUCCCUCAUCCCUUAGGGUCCAGAAGAGCAAUGGAGGAAGUGACAGCUAAUGUUGCAGUUCUUAUUGUAUGGCAUAGGACUGGCAUUAUAUAGCAGAAAUCAACUACUGUACAAUUUCUUGGGGUUAACCAUCUUUAGUUAAAUGGAAUUUUAAUUUAAAUGAAGCUUUGCUAAUUUUAAGUGUUAAGCAUUUUGCAUUAAAAUAUUCAUAUAAU
rnacentral:sRNA from 1 species